UUUUUUUGAUAUAUAUAUAUAUAUAUAUAUAUAUAUAUUUUAACUGAAAUUUUUUAAGAGCAUUUCGAUGGUCGAUAUAUGUAUGUAUAUAUAUAUAUGUAUUUACUAAUAUUUUAUGUGUUAACUAAUGAUGUUUUUGACGGAUUUUAUAUAUGUAUCAUAAAAAUAGUCCCAUGCAAUUUGCAUUGUCUUCCAAAUUAUGGAAUUUAUAUGACCCUAAAAGCCAUAUGAAAAUAAGUUAUUAUAUUGUAGCUUUGAUCAAAAAAAAAAUAUAUUGUAGCUAUACAACAUAUUCUAUUUGUAGAAUAUAAAAUAUAUAAAGUAAAUGUUAGGAUUUGUAGUAAUGGUAUGAAAUUUUGACAGCCCAUCGGAAGCAGAACAAGCAAGUCAGAAAGGAGAAAGCAGUUCUUCUAAUUGAUCAUGGGAGAAUAAUAAAUCAUACAAAAUACAAAUAAAUAAAUAAAUAAAUAACUUAUGCAAAAUAAAUGGUGUCGGAUCAACUUAACAAUUUUUGUAUGUAGAAUAUAAAAUGUUAUAUAAGUAUCAUAAUAAGUGCGAUAUAAAUAUUAUAAUAUACUAGUUUUGCAUAUGUUGGACGAAAAAGAUCCGUAACUAUACAUACUAUAUGAUAAAGUAUGCAAAUUCAUGUCAAGUAUUGUAUGGUUUCUAACUACAAAUACUAUGGGUCAAUGUAUAACGUAUUCCAGAUAUUUUAUUGUAUCAAUUCAAUGCUCCAAACAUUGACUAACAAAUUAUUAAAAAAGUUAUCUUAUUUUAAUAAGUUAAUUAAGAGUUAAUUGGUUUCUAUGCCCAUAGAAGAUGAUUUAAUCAGGAUUCUACAUCUGAUUUGAUAUUAAUAUUUUUGUUCCAAUUUUACAUAAAGUCUAGUGUUUGUAGAAUAGGUGUGUAAGACUAAAUCAGACAAGUGGUCAUAUUUGUCUUCUAUCUCUUUCUUAUCCUAUCAUCUAACUCUCUAUCAUCUUUUUUCUAUCAUCUUUGUUUUCCUCUCCUAUCACGCACGAACUAUAUUCUUUUUUCUCAACUUCAUUCUCUCAUUUUUAUUCCAAACUUUACCAAUCUACAUCAGACUCUCUUUGAAAAUUUUCAUAUAUUUUCCAUUAGCAACUUAAAAUAGGUGAAAUAUGCGUUAGAUCUAGAGGUGAAGCAGCUGAUGAAGUCUCUUUUUAAGAUUGGAAAUAUGCUCAAGACCGAAGAGAAGACCGAGCGAGUCUGUGAUUUUAUUUUUGAUGUGCAUAACAUUUUUGUUAGUAGACAUUUUACUUGUUAUCCAAUAUUAUUCAUGUUUUGAUAGAUCUUAAGUUUCAUGUCGUCCUUUGAGAUAGAUGUAUUGUCAGAUGUUACUUCAGUUUUAUAUUGCCGUUUGAGAUAAUGUGUGGUAAGAUGUUACAGAUAGGUCUCAUUAGUAGAUAUAUGGUUAGUUAGAUGAUACAUGAGUUGUUAGGUGUUAUAUUUUGCCUGAUACAUAAUUUAUCAUCUAAUAUAUUUUUUGUUACCUGAGA